AUUCUCUUCUAGUCUUUUGGGUCAGCCUGCCCUCAUGCCUUGAGGAUGUAUUUUCCUCUGCUUGCCAAAUAAAACAGCUGUAACAUGGAGCUGUAACACUGGUCCAUCUGUCACUUCAAAUUUUUGCUGCAGCAAGACAGAACCAAGGAAAUUACUCAAUUCCCCAACAUAUAUGGUGCUGUUUCUAGGAUUUAUCCUGGCUUAAACAAUCUCGGCUCAGCCCCCACAAGGCAGAAGCCGAGCACAGCAGAAGCCCAGCUCAGUGAAAGAUCCCAUGGUGGAAGCUGAACAUGAAGAAAACCCAGCGCAGGGAAAGUGACAAGAAGCCCACUAUGCUGGAAACUGGAACAACAAAAACAACUCAGUGGAAAGUUCACGCAGCUCAGUCUCAGAUUCCAGGAGGCCUCCGGUUAAGUUCCUCUCUCCCAGGACUUGAGCCUGGCCAAAACGCAUGUUGCCUGGCUUCAGGACCUAAUGAAGCUCAAGCUCUUGAUGUCUCAUUGCAAAAAAUUCAGUGGGAGACACAGCGAUAGGUCAACAAGUUACAACAUGCAGUGCCAGUUCAACAAGGAUAUAUAAAACUACAGCCAACCACGGAAAAUAUCACUCACCCUAAGAUGGACAGCACUAUAAGGACUAUGGGCUUGAGACUACCAAGAGGGGGAGGCCCAAUGCCCCUUGCUGUCAAGUUCAGCAGGAAGUAGCCAGAGAGAUCUCAACACUCCUAUUCCCAAAGAAUUGGGCCUCCCAUCUCUUGAGUGGGGAAUGUCAGGUACUUAGAACAGGAAAAAGGAGUCCAAAAUGGCGGUGGCUAAAAGACAAAAAAAGGGAAAAGUCCACAAAAACAGAACAAAAGAAAAUCCAAGGACAGGAGUGAGAACCUCAGGUGAAACAAACAGUCCUCCUGGCUAGCCCAAUUUACACAGGGCAGACUCGGGGAGUAGGGAGACAAAUGUAUAAAAGGAGGAAGACAAGAGGAAUUGAGGCCUUUCCUUCGGGGUCAGCCUGCCCUCAUGCCUCAAGGGUAUACUAUUCUUUGCUUGCCAAACAAAACUCUGACUAGUAACUGAGCUAUUCCACUGGUCUGCCGUUUCAAAUCUUUGUUGCAGCGAGACAGAAUCAAGGAAAUUACACAUUCCCCCAACAAAUUGAAAUAAUAAAUAUAAAAUGAACUAUGAAGAUAAAAGUUUGCUAAACUAUCAUUUUAUUAAUAGCAAAGGAAAAUACAGUUUUGUAGAUUCCACAGGUGGGCAAAAUUUCUCCAUAAAAUUUCCUAAAUAUAUUCUACUAAGAACUUUAUGAAAAGAUAAAAGUUAUCUUUUUGAAAAGAUACCUAUUUCCUGUGUCUAUUUUCAGUAGCACAGGCAAAAAAAACAUGUUUCAAGAUACAACUCUUAGUGCCAAAGUGAUUACAAAACUGUUAAGACAGUAAUUUAGGGAGAGCCAAGGCCAGAAAAAUAUAUUAUUACUGUUAUAAUGAACAGAGAAAAGAAAGAUGUUGAAUAUAGCUUGAGAAAAAACUUCUGUUUCUCAUCUUUUUAAGAGUUCUUACAACUCAGGUAAUAAAAAUAUAAAACUUAUGGAUCCUUGUUGCAAAUAGUCCUCUGCCUACACUGAUAUUUGAUUUAAAGUGAUCAUGUUGUACUUGCUGGUUAAGAGGAUAUACCUGCCUUAUAAUGGGCUUAAAUAAUCUCUUUAAAGAUAUAUUUGCAAGCUAAGAUGAUGCUUAUUUUAUCUAAUAUACAGUGGACAUUUCUAAAAUUAACUACUUAGGAGGCCUUAUUAGCAAAGUAUGUUCCUGGCUUCCCUGUACUGAUAUGACAAUUAAAUCAUUGGCAGAGAACUGAAGGUUGCCUUUGAGACAAUAAGUUGGCAUAUGAUAUUGACCAAAAACAUGAUAUCUGCAGUUAGUCUAAAGUGGAACAAUUUGAUAAAAGCUUAUGUGGGGAAAAUUGAGAUUGAAACAUGUUUUCAUGCAGGCUAAGUUGCUUCAGUUGUGUCCAAAUCUUUGUGGCCCUUAUGGACUGUAGCCUGCCAGGCUCCUCUGUCCAUAGGAUUUCCAGGCAAGAAUAUUGGAGUGAGUUGCCAUGUACUUCUCCAGGGGAUCUUCCUGACCCAGGGAUUGAACCCAGGUCUCUUAUGUCUCCUGCAUGAGCAGGUGGGAUUUUUAUCACUAGCGCCACCUGGAAGCCCAUUUAAGGAAUCACUAUUUUGUUGAUUCUAUUUUCUAUGUAAAACUACAAAUAUGUGCAGAAAUAGAAUAAUUAAUCUCUGUACACUUAUCAUCCAGUAUGAAUACAUAUUCACUCAUGGCCAAUCCUACUUCAGAUACCCACUCCCUUCCCUAUCUUCUAUAUUAUUUUGAAGAACACCCCAGACAUCCUAUCAUCUGCAAAUAUUUCCUAUUAAUCUCUAGAAGUCAAAAAUCAAAACCAUGAUAACCACUAUCAUAUCUAAAAAUUAACAAUAAUGACUUAAUAUUAACAUGUAAAAUACCCAUUUAGUGUUAAAACUUUCAAUAGUUUUAUAAUUCUCACAGUUUUAAAUCUUUACUUAAAACAAGUACAAUAGAUUCGUCUUUUGUGUAGUUGCUAAGUUGUGUCUGACUCUUGGCAACCUCAUGGACUGUAGCCCAGCAGGCUCCUCUGUCCAUGAGAUUUCCCAAGCAAGAAUACUGGACUGAGUUGCC
ensembl:lncRNA